rnacentral:rRNA from 1 species
UACGUAGGGUGCAAGCGUUAAUCGGAAUUACUGGGCGUAAAGCGUGCGCAGGCGGUUUUGUAAGUCUGUCGUGAAAUCCCCGGGCUUAACCUGGGAAUUGCGAUGGAGACUGCAAGGCUAGAGUCUGGCAGAGGGGGGUAGAAUUCCACGUGUAGCAGUGAAAUGCGUAGAGAUGUGGAGGAACCCCGAUGGCGAAGGCAGCCCCCUGGGUCAAGACUGACGCUCAUGCACGAAAGCGUGGGGAGCAAACGGG